rnacentral:rRNA from 1 species
GACGAACGCUGGCGGCGUGCUUAACACAUGCAAGUCGAACGGUAAGGCCCUUCGGGGUACACGAGUGGCGAACGGGUAAGUAACACGUGGGUGAUCUGCCCUGCACUUCGGGAUAAGCCUGGGAAACUGGGUCUAAUACCGGAUAGGACUCCGGACUGCAUGGUCUGGGGUGGAAAGCUUUUGCGGUGUGGGAUGGGCCCGCGGCCGAUCAGCUUGUUGGUGGGGUGAUGGCCUACCAAGGCGACGACGGGUAGCCGGCCUGAGAGGGUGACCGGCCACACUGGGACUGAGAUACGGCCCAGACUCCUACGGGAGGCAGCAGUGGGGAAUAUUGCACAAUGGGCGCAAGCCUGAUGCAGCGACGCCGCGUGAGGGAUGACGGCCUUCGGGUUGUAAACCUCUUUCAGCAUCGACGAAGCGAAAGUGACGGUAGGUGCAGAAGAAGGACCGGCCAACUACGUGCCAGCAGCCGCAGUAA